UUAAAAAUAAUGAUUGGGAAAAAGCAACUAUGAUUCUGUUUCAGAGAUCCGGUGGUUGGUGAAAACCGGUACAGACAUUUUUUGCGAAACUCGCCCAUGAAUUCUUUUGCUGAAGGUAGGAAUUUAACUUCGUUAGGCAAAAGCGUACAUCCGCGUUAUAGGAUAUCAGCCAUUGUAUUUACGUUUGGCUGAACUACGAGCCUAAUGUAGGGUGGUACCGCGAUAUUGUCGCCCCUAUU
rnacentral:ncRNA from 1 species